CCUACGGGAGGCAGCAGUGAGGAAUAUUGGUCAAUGGACGAGAGUCUGAACCAGCCAAGUAGCGUGAAGGAUGACUGCCCUAUGGGUUGUAAACUUCUUUUAUAAAGGAAUAAAACGAGGCACGUGUGCCUUUUUGCAUGUACUUUAUGAAUAAGGAUCGGCUAACUCCGUGCCAGCAGCCGCGGUAAUACGGAGGAUCCGAGCGUUAUCCGGAUUUGUUGGGUUUAAAGGGAGCGGAGAUGGGUUGUUAAGUCAGUUGUGAAAGUUUGCGGCUCAACCGUAAAAUUGCAAUUGAUACUGGCAGUCUUGAGUACAGUUGAGGUAGGCGGAAUUCGUGGUGUAGCGGUGAAAUGCUUAGAUAUCACGAAGAACCCCGAUUGCGAAGGCAGCUUACUAAACUGCCACUGACAUUGAUGCUCGAAAGUGUGGGUAUCAAACAGGAUUAGAUACCCGGGUAGUC
rnacentral:rRNA from 1 species